rnacentral:rRNA from 1 species
GACGAACGCUGGCGGCGUGCCUAAUACAUGCAAGUAGAACGAGUUGCGAACGGGUGAGUAACGCGUGGUAACCUGCCUCAUAGCGGGGGAUAACUAUUGGAAACGAUAGCUAAUACCGCAUACUGUGAGAUGGACCUGCGUUGUAUUAGCUAGUUGGUGAGGUAAAGGCUCACCAAGGCGACGAUACAUAGCCGACCUGAGAGGAGGACCAUCCACACUGGAACUGGGACACGGUCCAGACUCCUACGGGAGUCAGAGGUGGGGAAUAUUGCACAAUGGGCGCAAGCCUGAUGCAGCCAUGCCGGGUGGAUGAAGAGGGCCUUCGGGUUGUAAGGUACUUUCAGCGGGGAGGCGUUACCCGCAGAAGAAGCACCGGCUAACUCCGUGCCAGCCGCCGCGGUAAUAC